GAUGAACGCUGGCGGCGUGCCUAAUACAUGCAAGUCGAGCGAACAGACGAGGAGCUUGCUCCUCUGACGUUAGCGGCGGACGGGUGAGUCACACGUGGAUAACCUACCUAUAAGACUGGGAUAACUUCGGGAAACCGGAGCUAAUACCGGAUAAUAUCUUGAACCGCAUGGUUCAAUAGUGAAAGACGGUUUUGCUGUCACUUGUGGAUGGAUCCGCGCCGCUUUAGCUAGUUGGUGGGGUAGCGGCUUACCAAGGCGAUGACGGGUAGCCGGCGUGAGAGGGUGACCGGCCACAGUGGGACUGAGAGACGGCCCAGACUCCUAAGGGAGGAAGCAGUGGGGAAUAUUGCACAAUGGGCGGAAGCCUGAUGCAGCAACGCCGCGUGCGGGAUGACGGCCUUCGGGUUGUAAACCGCUUUCGCCUGUGACGAAGCGUGAGUGACGGUAAUGGGUAAAGAAGCACCGGCUAACUACGUG
rnacentral:rRNA from 1 species